ACGCUGAAGCUUGGUGCUUGCACCGAGCGGAUGAGUUGCGAACGGGUGAGUAACGCGUAGGUAACCUGCCUCUUAGCGGGGGAUAACUAUUGGAAACGAUAGCUAAUACCGCAUAAAAGUCGACAUCGCAUGAUGUUGACUUGAAAGGUGCAAUUGCAUCACUAAGAGAUGGACCUGCGUUGUAUUAGCUAGUUGGUGAGGUAACGGCUCACCAAGGCGACGAUACAUAGCCGACCUGAGAGGGUGAUCGGCCACACUGGGACUGAGACACGGCCCAGACUCCUACGGGAGGCAGCAGUAGGGAAUCUUCGGCAAUGGGGGCAACCCUGACCGAGCAACGCCGCGUGAGUGAAGAAGGUUUUCGGAUCGUAAAGCUCUGUUGUAAGAGAAGAACGAGUGUGAGAGUGGAAAGUUCACACUGUGACGGUAACUUACCAGAAAGGGACGGCUAACUACGUGCCAGCAGCCGCGGUAAUACGUAGGUCUCGAGCGUUAUCCGGAUUUAUUGGGCGUAAAGCGAGCGCAGGCGGUUAGAUAAGUCUGAAGUUAAAGGCUGUGGCUUAACCAUAGUACGCUUUGGAAACUGUUUAACUUGAGUGCAGAAGGGGAGAGUGGAAUUCCAUGUGUAGCGGUGAAAUGCGUAGAUAUAUGGAGGAACACCGGUGGCGAAAGCG
rnacentral:rRNA from 1 species